UACGUAGGGGGCUAGCGUUGUCCGGAAUCAUUGGGCGUAAAGCGCGUGUAGGCGGUCCGGUAAGUCCGCUGUGAAAGUCGGGGGCUCAACCCUCGGAUGCCGGUGGAUACUGUCGGGCUUGAGUACGGAAGAGGCGAGUGGAAUUCCUGGUGUAGCGGUGAAAUGCGCAGAUAUCAGGAGGAACACCAGUGGCGAAGGCGGCUCACUGGUCCGGUACUGACGCUGAGGUGCGAAAGCGUGGGGAGCAAACAGG
rnacentral:rRNA from 1 species